CAGUGUUUUUGGGUUCCAACAUAUUUCUCUUUUAUUUGCUAUAUUACAAUCAUGCCAUCCUAUCUUUAAUACACAUGGAUUUGAGAUCUUAAUUGAAUUUACAAGUCUGUCCUUUGAUUUUUUCUGUCACUCUCCUUCGUUCUUCCACCCGCUCAAUUUCAUUCCAUUUCACAUUCCAAUCAACAAAGAGUCAAAGACACGUCAACGCCUCCGCCCAUGAUCGGAAAAAUUGGACCUUACACCGUAUUCAUGACCCCUCCUUCCACCCCUAAACCACCGUCGCCCCUUUUCGAAUCCUCUAAAAAGACGGUUUCUUCGCCUCCGCUGGUGCUGCCUCGGCCUCAACAGAUCGAUAAGUCUCUUUCUUCUCACUCUUUACCAAAUGGUUCCAUAUCUGGGUUCAGGAGCACGAGGUGUGCGGUGGAUUGAUUUCUGACAUGGAAGGCGAUAUUGAUUCUCACGCCGCCGAUGACGAUGUCGUUAAAGUCUCCUUUCAAUCUCUAUUUUUCCCUUUAAAAUGUCUGUUUAGUAAAUAAUAAUAAUGAAAAAAACCCUUCAUCGACGGUUUAACUAUCAGUUUCGAUGAAUAAAUAAUUAAUGUUCUUUGGUCGCAGGAGCUUGAUGAAAUGAAGAAGGUUAAAAGAGAUGGAGGAACAAGCUGCUGCAAGCUAAAGCAAGUGACAACAACCAAUCAAGCCAUUCAUCUCUGAAGAUGCUUGGAGAUAACAGAAACAGAAGUUGAUCUGGUUAUUAGUGAUAUUUAGGCUACUUUAGUAGAUUUUGAAUCUGCUUUGUAAAAUAAUCUAUAUUUGCUUAGUCUAUCUACCAAUCUGCUGUCACUAUGGUUUACUUUCCUAUUGAAUAACUUAUUUUAUCAA